AUUGAACGCUGGCGGCAGGCUUAACACAUGCAAGUCGAGCGGAGAGAGGUAGCUUGCUACUGAUCUUAGCGGCGGACGGGUGAGUAAUGCUUAGGAAUCUGCCUAUUAGUGGGGGACAACAUUUCGAAAGGAAUGCUAAUACCGCAUACGUCCUACGGGAGAAAGCAGGGGAUCUUCGGACCUUGCGCUAAUAGAUGAGCCUAAGUCGGAUUGGCUAGUUGGUGGGGUAAAGGCCUACCAAGGCGACGAUCUGUAGCGGGUCUGAGAGGAUGAUCCGCCACACUGGGACUGAGACACGGCCCAGACUCCUACGGGAGGCAGCAGUGGGGAAUAUUGGACAAUGGGCGCAAGCCUGAUCCAGCCACGCCGCGUGUGUGAAGAAGGCCUUAUGGUUGUAAAGCACUUUAAGCGAGGAGGAGGCUACUUUAGUUAAUACCUAGAGAUAGUGGACGUUACUCGCAGAAUAAGCACCGGCUAACUCUGUGCCAGCCGCCGCAGUAA
rnacentral:rRNA from 1 species